rnacentral:rRNA from 1 species
AUGGCUGACACGCCAAACCCCGCCGCCCCGCCUCCACCGACGACAGCAAGCUCUGCCCCGUCCGCAAGAAGCAACCCAAGUCCAAGAACGAGCAGACGCCGGAGCAGUGUGACGUAUAUUCGGCGAAGAGGGCUCGUCGAAGUAAGGUACAGACCGAAACUAGAAGCUUCCAGCACGGCCGCCCUCGCCGCCGUCACGCAACAGGAGGCCACCAUCGCGGAGAAUGAGGCCCUCCUCGCCAAGGCCAAGAAGGACGAGAAGUGUGAUGCGGCCAUAUUUGCCUUAUAA